AUUGAACGCUGGCGGCAGGCCUAACACAUGCAAGUCGAACGAGUGGCGGACGGGUGGGUAAUGUCUGGGAAAGUGCCCGAUGGAGGGAGCAAACUAGUGGAAACGGUGGCUAAUACCGCAUACCAUCGGAUGUGCCCAGAUGGGAUUAGCUAGUCGGUGUGGUAACGGCUCACCAAGGCGACGAUCCCUAGCUGGGCUGAGAGGAUGACCAGCCACACUGGAACUGAGACACGGUCCAGACUCCUACGGGAGGCAGCAGUGGGGAAUAUUGCACAAUGGGCGAAAGCCUGAUGCAGCCAUGCCGCGUGUAUGAAGAAGGCCUUCGGGUUGUAAAGUACUGUCAUCGAGGAGGCGUUACUCGCAGAAGAAGCACCGGCUAACUCCGUGCCAGCAGCCGCGGUAAUUC
rnacentral:rRNA from 1 species